UAGAUCAAGCAGGGAGAUCUCCUUGGUUGC
rnacentral:piRNA from 1 species